GCCCAGGUGGCGGAAUUGGUAGACGCGCUAGCUUCAGGUGCUAGUAUUCGCAAGGAUGUGGAAGUUCGAGUCUUCUCCUGGGCACCA
rnacentral:tRNA from 1 species